rnacentral:misc_RNA from 1 species
UGGCUCUCGCAUCGAUGAAGAACGCAGCGAAAUGCGAUAAGUAAUGUGAAUUGCAGAAUUCAGUGAAUCAUCGAAUCUUUGAACGCACCUUGCACCCUGGGGUAUUCCCUAGGGUAUGUCUGUCUGAGUGUUAUUUGACCUCUCAAAGCCUCUUUCCUUUAACUGGGCAGGGGUGCUUUGGAUCAUGGGUGUUUGCGAGCCUCGGUUCGCUCACCUCAAAUUGAAUGUGGCAUUCUACUCUGAAGCCGCUGUCGGGUCUGACCUGGAGUGAUAGAAGUCUUUCGAGAUCUCUGGGAAACCGUCUCUUGACGGUACCUGCUGUGGUGGGAGGGAGUGUCUAACAGACUCAUCUGACGUUUUUGACCUCAGAUCAGACAGGACUACCCGCUGA